GACGAACGCUGGCGGCGUGCUUAACACAUGCAAGUCGAACGGAAAGGCCCUGCUUUUGUGGGGUGCUCGAGUGGCGAACGUGUGAGUAACACGUUAGUAACCUGCCCUUGACUUUGGGAUAACUUCAGUAAACUGUGGCUAAUACCGGAUAGGAGCUCCUGCUGCAUGGUGGGGGUUGGAAAGUUUCGGCGGUUGGGGAUGGACUCGCGGCUUAUCAGCUUGUUGGUGGGGUAGUGGCUUACCAAGGCUUUGACGGGUAGCCGGCCUGGGGGGGUGACCGGCAAAAUUGGGACGGAGAUGAGGCCCAGACUACUACGGGAGGCAGCAGUGGGGAGUAUUGCACAAUGGGCGGAAGCCUGAUGAAGCAACGACGCGUGCGGGAUGAAGGCCUUCGGGUUGUAAACCGCUUUCGCCUGUGAAGAAGAGUGAGUGACGGUAAUGGGUAAAGAAGCACCGGCUAACUACGUG
rnacentral:rRNA from 1 species